GCCAUUUUGCUCAGUCUUCAACCCUAGUUCAGUUCUAGUUUUCUGUUUAAAUAUCGUUUCAUUUUGGGGAUCGGAACCGUCGAAUCUCCGCUCUACCUGUUUUUGUAAUUCUCUCGGGAAGCCUAAGCUUAAGUUCUGGUAGAUGGGUCAGAUUCAGUACUCUGAGAAGUACUUCGAUGAUACUUACGAGUAUAGGCAUGUGGUGCUCCCACCCGAUGUGGCAAAGUUGCUUCCGAAGAAUCGCCUUCUCUCGGAAAAUGAGUGGCGUGCAAUUGGAGUUCAGCAGAGUCGUGGGUGGGUGCACUAUGCUAUUCAUCGACCUGAGCCGCAUAUCAUGCUAUUCCGGAGGCCCCUGAACUACCAACAGCAGCAGGAGAACCUCGCUCAACAGAACGUGCUUGCUGCUAAAUGAUUGUUUCAUUUUACUGAUCAUGUGGAGUGCUACUGGCAAGAAAGAAAGCAGUCAAUAUAAAGGUUUUAAAAUGGAAAACCGUGCGCACUUUCCUGGUAUCUGUGGUCAAUCGUCCUGCCUAAAAAAUAUGCUGGAGUUUCUACGUUUACUCUGAACUCUGUAUGGUUGUAGAGGUGGCUUAUAUAUAUAUAUAUGCUUCUGUAUCUUUGCUUGACUCUGCAAUUCUAUGGAUUUAGAACCAGAUGUGGGUUUGAUGGAUCUUGGUCCUUAACUUUCUGUGCUAAGACUUGAAAAUUUGCGUCACUUUAAUGAAUUGCUUGCUUAUUAGAACUUGUGGAGUAUAAGAGCCCAUGAUUCAUUUGCUUCUUUGGUAUAAUUCAGCAUCAAGCCUGCAUUGAUAUGGAGGGAAUGUGAGAUUUUUUUACCACUUACAUCUAUGAUUUGGUGUCAAUUUUGUUUUAAAUCUCUUGGUUAUUGAUUUAGGCCAAAGAGAUUUGGACGAUUUACAUAAAUCUCAAUGUUCUGAAUGUUGAAAAGGUUAGAUCUCUUCCAAUUCUUGAUUUACUUGCUGCUUUUGUGUUUAUUUUAUCCUCAUCUUCGUCUCAAAUAGGACAUUCAGGCUUUCACCUUAUUUAGAAGCCAUUUGAAACAAGAAAAUCUCUCAAAGUUGGAUUUCCUGGAAUUAGGUAAAUGUUUCCCUGUUUUGACUAAUAAUAAAAGUUCAAGCAUUGAACAACAUUACUAUGUCUUGACAUAGAAUCCUUUAUUGGUGAGAAACUCUCCACCAUCGUGAUCUUAACAGCAAUACACUACAACUGCACCCACCACCUACUAAGUUUCUAACUUCUGCCAUUAGCUACAGAACUUUGUUGUUCCCAAAAGAGAAUAGAAAUUGUAAGAGAAAUCAAUCUUUAGUUUGUGUUGUUCCAAUUUGCCGCUGUAUUAGCGCAACCCUUCUUGCCUUAAGCUCUGCCUCUUCAAUAUGCAACAGAACCCACUUCUCAUUCAUACCUUUCAAACUCCACUCCUCCAUUCCCUUCAGCCCCUCUCUCCACACUCCAUUUCCCGGGAACUGCCGGGAAAAUUCACUCACAAGAACAGGAAAGUUCUUCAGAUCAACCCCCUUUUUCCUUGCCACUGAUCUUCCUCUAAUUCUGCGUGAAAUUACCUGCGGUUUUGUUCUGGGAAUGUGGGGUUUUCCCCAGAUGCUGCGCCCAAUCUCCAGAAUCCGUAGGUGGUGGGGAGUUUUGAUGAAGGACUUGGUUCUUGCGAAUUUGUGGUACUGGAUCUUGAGCCUGUGGAGCUUGUCGGCGAUGUGGGAGUGCCUGAAUUUGUGGCCGAGGGCGGUCGCAAUGCGGUCCAAGGCCGGAGAGUCGAGAGUGGGCUGAGAAUUCUUGGAUCCGGCGACUUCGAGGUAGCAAUUGAGAAGAUCGAGUUCGUCUUCGUCGGUGAAAUGGACUUGAAGUUGAUUUUUCUGGGAUUGGGUUAGGGGUUCGGGAGCGGCGUCGGAAGAGGCGCGGUUUCCGGUCGACGGCGGCGAGCGGCGGGGCGUUGACAUGGGGAUGCGAAAUUGGGAUUAGAUUGGGGAGUUAUUUUGAUUGGGCGGUUUUGGUGAGAGAGAGUCAAUGACUGGUUAAGGUUAGAAGAUGAUGCUUUGUUAUUGAAUGAUUGAAAGAGGGUUCCAGUAAUUUCAAUUACAAAUCAUGUUUGGACCGGGAAGGACUUCAUCGAAUUUAGAACUAAAUUAUUUAUUCAACCUUCCGUUUCAUUUC